AAGGAGGGCAACGAGGCCGGCAGGUUCCCAAGGUUACCACCCAACCCUGCCAACUUUCGCACCCCGCGAGGAGCAAGACCCCGCCUGCUCACCAUCUGCCUGUGCAGCCAACGGGCCUCGCUGAGCUGCCCUGGGCCGCUCCCUCCAUUGACACAGUUGGCCCUUCCUCUCCCUGCCUCCCUUCACCUACCCCACGAACUACUUCAUCCUUUUGGGCCGGCACUGUAGAAGCCCCAUUGUUCACAUUGACCUCCCAAUUAUCUCCUCUUUCCCUCUCCCUCUGCUCCUGCCCCAGACCAGCCCCCCAGCAUUGACCUGGAUGCCUGCCGCAGCCUCCUCCCUGGUCUCGGGCCUCCCACCUCUGCUCCUCGGUCUCCUCUACCCAGCCAGUAACUGCAGAGAGCACUAAAGCACAGUCCUGGCAUCUCACUCCCUUAACCCUGGCCACGGCUUCCCAGUGCCUCCAAGAUAAAG
rnacentral:lncRNA from 1 species